rnacentral:rRNA from 1 species
AUUGAACGCUGGCGGCAGGCCUAACACAUGCAAGUCGAACGGUAACAGGAAGAAGCUUGCUUCUUUGCUGACGAGUGGCGGACGGGUGAGUAAUGUCUGGGAAACUGCCUGAUGGCGGGGGAUAACUACUGGAAACGGUAGCUAAUACCGCAUAACGUCGCAAGACCAAAGAGGGGGACCUUCGGGCCUCUUGCCCUCGGAUGUGCCCAGAUGGGAUUAGCUAGUAGGUGGGGUAACGGCUCACCUAGGCGACGAUCCCUAGCUGGUCUGAGAGGAUGACCAGCCACACUGGAACUGAGACACGGUCCAGACUCCUACGGGAGGCAGCAGUGGGGAAUAUUGCACAAUGGGCGCAAGCCUGAUGCAGCCAUGCCGCGUGUAUGAAGAAGGCCUUCGGGUUGUAAAGUACUUUCAGCGGGGAGGAAGGGAGUAAAGUUAAUACCUUUGCUCAUUGACGUUACCCGCAGAAGAAGCACCGGCUAACUCCGUG